rnacentral:lncRNA from 1 species
GCCAUCUGAACUUUCACGUAUGCAUCCCAUCGUCAUACGGUAAAACUUACAAUCCUACGUUACGCCAGAUCUAAUAAAUAUCAAAAGCAAGUAUAACUCUAAAGCAUGAGAUCUGGUCGUGACAAAAUAAAGAGAUUUAAAAUAAAAUUAUGUAAUAAUUAGGCCUGCACAUGGUGCACCUGGCCGUCAUAUCACCCACCAAUAAUAAAUCAUGGCAAUGCUAGCUACAUGCCAUAUCUAGCAAGUCUCUUAUGAAAACUAGCAUGUCAUCAUC